rnacentral:rRNA from 1 species
UAAUACGUAGGGGGCAAGCGUUAUCCGGAUUUACUGGGCGUAAAGAGCGCGUAGGCGGUUCCGUAAGUUGGUUGUGAAAGUUCGAGGCUCAACCUCGAAACUGCGUCCAAUACUGCGGGGCUGGAGUGCAAGAGAGGCAAGUGGAAUUUGCGGUGUAGUAGUGAAAUGCGUAGAUAUCGCAAGGAACACCAGUGGCGAAGGCGGCUUGCUAGCUUGUAACUGACGCUGAGGCGCGAAAGCUAGGGGAGCGAACGGGAUUAGAUACCCCGGUAGUCCUAGCCCUAAACAAUGUUCACUAGGUGUUGGUGGUAUUGACGCCAUCAGUGCCGCAGCUAACGCAUUAAGUGAACCGCCUGGGGAGUACGGCCGCAAGGUUG